GACAGAGGGUGCGAACGUUGCUCGGAAUCACUGGGCGUAAAGCGCGCGUAGGCGGACCGGAAAGUCGGUUGUGAAAUCCCUGGGCUCAACCCAGGAACUGCAUCCGAAACUCCCGGUCUAGAGUGACGGAGAGGAUAGUGGAAUUCCCGGUGUAGAGGUGAAAUUCGUAGAUAUCGGGAGGAACACCAGUGGCGAAGGCGGCUAUCUGGACGUCCACUGACGCUGAGGCGCGAAAGCGUGGGGAGCAAACAGGAUUAGAUACCCUGGUAGUCCACGCCGUAAACGAUGAGAACUAGGUGUCGCGGGUAUUGACCCCUGCGGUGCCGUAGCUAACGCGUUAAGUUCUCCGCCUGGGGAGUACGGCCGCAAGGCUAAA
rnacentral:rRNA from 1 species